AUUGAACGCUGGCGGUAUGCUUAACACAUGCAAGUCGAACGGUAGCAGGCCUUCGGGCGCUGACGAGUGGCGGACGGGUGAGUAACGCGUAGGAAUCUGCCUCAUAGUGGGGGACAACGUGUGGAAACGCACGCUAAUACCGCAUACGCCCUACGGGGGAAAGCGGGGGACCUUCGGGCCUCGCGCUAUGAGAUGAGCCUGCGUUAGAUUAGCUAGUUGGUAGGGUAAAGGCCUACCAAGGCGACGAUCUAUAGCUGGUCUGAGAGGACGAUCAGCCACACUGGGACUGAGACACGGCCCAGACUCCUACGGGAGGCAGCAGUGGGGAAUAUUGGACAAUGGGCGCAAGCCUGAUCCAGCAAUACCGCGUGUGUGAAGAAGGCCCUAGGGUUGUAAAGCACUUUCAAUAGGGAGGAAAACCUGUCGGUCAAUACCCGGCAGCUUGACAUUACCUAUACAAGGAGCACCGGCUAACUCCGUGCCAGCAGCCGCAGUAAAAC
rnacentral:rRNA from 1 species